rnacentral:rRNA from 2 species
AAGACUGGGAUAACUCCGGGAAACCGGGGCUAAUACCGGAUGGUUGUUUGAACCGCAUGGUUCAGACAUAAAAGGUGGCUUCGGCUACCACUUACAGAUGGACCCGCGGCGCAUUAGCUAGUUGGUGAGGUAACGGCUCACCAAGGCGACGAUGCGUAGCCGACCUGAGAGGGUGAUCGGCCACACUGGGACUGAGACACGGCCCAGACUCCUACGGGAGGCAGCAGUAGGGAAUCUUCCGCAAUGGACGAAAGUCUGACGGAGCAACGCCGCGUGAGUGAUGAAGGUUUUCGGAUCGUA